AUGCGUAUCCUUCAGGACAACUCAAGCCCCUCCUCCUCUCCUGUACAUGAAUGUGAGAUGCUGCGCAUGCAAGAUCUGAGCCAAAUGGCAUAUUGUAAUCUUUUUAUUGCUGGUUUUUAUGUACAAUGUCAUGAAGAUGUACGUUUGAAAUGUUGCUUUGAUAGCAAAAUUGUAUUCCUGUGUACAUGCUGCUUUGACAGCAAAAUUAUGAGAAUUUCUCAACAAUAUAUAUGGGCAAAAUUGUAUUCCUGUGUACUGCACCUGAAAAGGCUACAGCCAAUUGAUGAUGUUGCUGUGGAAUUGUUUAGUUUAUUUUAA
rnacentral:rRNA from 1 species